UGCCGUGAUUUCUUUGUCUGGCUGUUUGUUGAUGGGCAUUUCAGUUGCAUCUAUUCCUUGGCUAUUGUGAGGAAUACGGUCAGUCAUGAAUGAACACAGGGACACACAUGUCCCUUCCAACUAGCUUUCUCGUGCUAGGAGUGGUGUUUUGCUGCCUCAUAAGUUCAUUCCAUUCUUAUCUGUUUAAAGGCUCUCCGUAGGAUUCUCCAGAGAGGCUGCACCAGCCCAGGUCCUCACCAACAAAGCGACAGAGUUCUUUCUUCUCCACAUCCUUGUCAACACUCGCCAUUUCCUGCUUUGCUGAGGUUCAAGGCCAAAGGGCUUAUCAGAGGACCAUGUAGAAGGUGGAGGAGAAACUGGAUUUGAAACAUAGCCUGAGGAAAAUUUUUCUGCAAACCAGAUGCCUGGGACUGCAAGUAAAGCCACCAAGCUACAGAUGCUAUCAUGAUACCAACCUGACUUCCCUGGGCAGAUGACCUCACCAAUGCAUCCUGAAGCCCCACCUGCCCAGAGCCCUGCCUCACUAGGGAAAGAGAGAGACAGGCUGGGGGUAUAAAUCCACCUGCCAAUAUCCAUGUCCAGCAGAGAAGCAAUUACAGAAGCCAGAACUCCCACCUCCUGCACCCCAUAACAAUAUUGGGCCCAUACUCCCAGAGGAAUAAAUAAUAGGAAACUUCUAAUGGAGGGGAUGGGAUGCAGAACUCUGGUAGUGGGAAUUGUGUGGAAUUGUACCCCUCUUAUCCAACGGAAUUGUCGUUCAUAAUUAAAUAAAAAAAAAGGAA